rnacentral:rRNA from 1 species
GAGGGGCCCGCGCCUGAUUAGCUAGUUGGUGAGGUAACGGCUCACCAAGGCUACGAUCAGUAUCCGGCCUGAGAGGGCGGACGGACACACUGGGACUGAGACACGGCCCAGACUCCUACGGGAGGCAGCAGUGGGGAAUUGUUCGCAAUGGGCGCAAGCCUGACGACGCAACGCCGCGUGGAGGAUGAAGACCUUCGGGUCGUAAACUCCUUUCGAUCGAGACGAGUUCCCUUGGGGUGAAUACCCUCGAGGGUUGACGGUACCGAGAGAAGAAGCCCCGGCUAACUCCGUGCCAGCAGCCGCGGUAAUACGGGGGGGGCAAGCGUUGUUCGGAAUUACUGGGCGUAAAGGGCUCGUAGGCGGCCAACUAAGUCGGACGUGAAAUCCCUCGGCUUAACCGGGGAACUGCGUCCGAUACUGGAUGGCUUGAGUGUGGGAGAGGGAUGCGGAAUUCCAGGUGUAGCGGUGAAAUGCGUAGAUAUCUGGAGG